GCAAUAUGACUGCUUGGAUUUUUUUUUUUUUCAUAUUCCUUAACUAGAUUUUUUUUCCUGGUCACUUUGAACUAUAGCUGGACAAUGAUUCAAAUUGCCAUUGCAAUAUCAGCCUGUACACCUGUAAAUUUCAAUGAGACUGAGCAGAGAGAGCUACAGCUACAACUGUACCCAACCCUGUAAAUAAGGUUGUAUCCUGCAAGGAUAAAACUCGGUUUUUUGCCCCCAGUUAAUCAGAUAUGAGUGCAAUACUAGCAUUUAUACACAUAUUCCUUACUUUACCAAAAACAUUUGGGAAAAACCCAUUCAGCAUUAGACUUAACACUGCACAUGGGUCUGACAUAAACAAGUUUCAACACAGGGGAUGCAACAUUUUAACAAUUCAUUAAAAAUCAAGGUACACAUUGUUCAGAUACAAAAAAAUUAUGUACAAAGAAUAUCAUUUCUUUAAAUCUCUUCCUAUAAAUACAAACGUUACAAUACUUAUUUAUGUAGAAGAAAAUAUAAUUUUCACAGUCUAACCAUAGAAGAAAUUAAUGAAAUAAAACAAAUGGAAAAAACAAGCAAAAACAAAAUUUGGCAAAUCAGAGAACUGUGUCCUCCACUUGUGUUAUCCCAGCAUCUUUUGCCAUGG